CCCUUAGAUGUUCUGGGCUGCACGCGCGCUACACUGACUGGUGCAACAAGUGUCGCUCCUUGGCCGAUAGGCCUGGGCAAUCUUUGAACGCCAGUCGUGAUGGGGAUAGAUUCUUGCAAUUUUUGAUCUUCAACGAGGAAUUCCUAGUAAACGCGAGUCAUCAACUCGCAUUGAUUACGUCCCUGCCCUUUGUACACACCGCCCGUCGCACCUACCGAUUGAAUGGUCCGGUGAACCCUCCGGAUCGGCUCGCGCCAACGCAAGUUGAGCAAAGGCCGAGAAGUUGGGUAAACCUUACCAUUUAGAGGAAGGUGAAGUCGUAACA
rnacentral:rRNA from 1 species